UACGAAGGGGGCUAGCGUUGCUCGGAAUCACUGGGCGUAAAGAGCUCGUAGGCGGUUUGUCGCGUCUGCUGUGAAAACCCAGGGCUUAACCCUGGGCCUGCAGUGGGUACGGGCAAACUAGAGUGCGGUAGGGGAGAUCGGAAUUCCUGGUGUAGCGGUGAAAUGCGCAGAUAUCAGGAGGAACACCGGUGGCGAAGGCGGAUCUCUGGGCCGUAACUGACGCUGAGAAGCGAAAGCAUGGGGAGCGAACAGG
rnacentral:rRNA from 1 species